AGAUUGGCUCUUCUAAAACAUAUUAAUUAUCCAUCACAAAAACUAACAUGUCUGUCAGUUAAUGGUGUAAAUGCACUUUUAACUGAUCAUUUUAAUUUAGUUGAUUCAUAAUUAUAUAACCAACUUGUUUGUUCAACUUGUUAGCAUGCUUACUAGCUAAUCAUCCAUCUUAUUUUCUUAACACAUUUGAUUAUGGCAAAAUAAGCGCAUGUACUGGAAGCUAGCUUUAGCUUUAGUUACUUUUGUGUCUUUGCUAAAUGAGCCUGCUAGCUAGUUAGUUAAUAAUUUGAUUACCUGCUCAAAAACUGGCCUUUUUUAGGAUCAUGUGAAGUUAUUAGUGUUGCAUGUGGCUGCGCUGGCAGAACUACAGUAUGAAGCAACUGCAAAGCCACUACGUUGUGUUUUCCUUUGAAAGACAAAGCGUGAAACCACUUUCAGAUAUUGGAGGCCGGUUCAUCUUUAAACGGGACA